UAGCCUAGUGGUGAAGGCAAUGGAUCGCCAAUCCGGAGACGGCGGGUUCGAUUUCCGU
rnacentral:tRNA from 1 species